GGGGACAGGAAGCAGGGUGGUCAAAGGAAGCGGCCCUGGCUAGUGCCAUGGGCCAUGAGACACCAGGCCGGACCUCUCUGCAUCUCAGUGCUCCUCUUUGUUCCGUGGGUGGUGACAGCUCCGUCCCACUUAGUACCACUGAGGACUUCAUCACGGAAGACCGUCAGUGAUGGUCCCGGUGAAUGAUGUCAUGGGCACUGGGGGCAGGGCAGUAAGACUAGCAGCAGGGAGUGAGUCUUGCUGCGUGUCUGGAUUCCAGGAUGCCCGUGCUGUUGGCUUUUCCCAUGAAGUUCUCAGCAAAGCAGGUGUAUUUGCCUUCAUCUGACCGACUGAUGUUCCUUAUGAUCAAGGUGCCAUCUGGAGUUACAGUCACUCUGCAGCACAGAGAGAGCAGCACAACGGCCUUGGGAGCUGCCCGGGGCUGACACGGGAUCAUGAUCUCUCCCCCACGAGCCGCGGGGAUCAGACGCCUUACGGGGUUCAGCCUGAAGUCAGGGGCCAGCGCUGGAAGGAAAGGAGAACACCCCAGGAGUCAUAACAGUACCCGUUGCCCUUGAUUAAGACGU